rnacentral:rRNA from 1 species
CCUACGGGUGGCUGCAGUGGGGAAUCUUGCGCAAUGGACGAAAGUCUGACGCAGCCACGCCGCGUGAGUGAAGAAGGCCUUCGGGUCGUAAAGCUCUGUCGGAUGGGACGAAAAUGCCUAAGGUGAAUAGCCUUAGGUACUGACGGUACCGUCAAAGGAAGCACCGGCUAACUCUGUGCCAGCAGCCGCGGUAAUACAGAGGGUGCAAGCGUUGCUCGGAAUUAUUGGGCGUAAAGGGUAGGUAGGUGGUCUCAUUUGUCUGGGGUGAAAGCCUU